CACCCCUUAGGAUUGAAGCUGGAGAGUUUCCAAUACUCUACCAGUCUCGCUACAGGAGGGAGAGUCAAGCAGAGGCAUACCCAUUCCAUUUCUUGCUUGGGCAGUGGCUAGCAAGUGGAAGGCAGUCUGCUACAAGU